ACAGCCCCUUCCUCGAGGGGGAGGCGGGGCUUUCCGAGAAAAGAUCACAGCGGUCUUCUGAGGCUUGGUGCUUUGGACUUUUGUUGUAAUGCUACAUCCAUCUGACAUUAUGCGGAAGGGAAAGAAAAGAUGCCAACAUUAAUGAGCUCCUACUGUGUGCCAGGCAUUUUACAGACUAUUUCUUUACAGCCCUUUGAGGCCUUUAGUAUAAUCCAUUAACGGCUACGGGCUCCUGUUAGCACUGUACCAGGCACAUUACUCAACCCCUGUAGAUGGCCGCUUCUUCACUUGGAAAAUGACCUAUGAAAUAAUCUCCUCCAGAGAAGUUCCUUCAUGGAAACAUGAGAGCAGGGAAAUGGCAGCUAACAAUUACUGAAAUACUCUAUGUCAAGGGUACAUGGCAAGCAUCACUGCUCAUUCUCACAAAGACCCUGUAAGGUGAAGACAUUCUGUAUACAUGGUCCAAAGAAGAAAGUAUUCUCUGUGAAAGGUGGAAUUUUGGGAUGCGUGAUUGUAGCCAUUGUUUACUGAGCAUCUACUGUGUGUCAGGUUUGAGAGUAAAGAUGGCAGCUGAACACUUCUGUGAACUCAAAGGCCAAGAGAUUGACAAUGAGUGAAAUGGAUCAUGAGCCACAUUUGGUGCAUCAACCAGAUCAACUCAGGCACAAAGAGAAGGUGUGGGUUUGGUGGAGUGAUGAGAGGUUCUACCCUUUCAAUUGGUUUGCCAGUCUUGGUCUGAAUUCCUCACUAAUCUCUGAAUAACAGAAUAGGAAUAAAGAGAGUUUUCAAAUUUUCCGAGUCGCACUGCCCAGCUUUGGUCUACCCUAAGUAUGGACCCCUCCAGCACAGUGAUACACAAGCUUGUGAACAUGUUUGACCCAGACAAAAUCCAGAAAUUGGUUCGAGUUAAAGUUCUGGUAAAUCCAGUAUAUGGCUGAGAUUUUGUGCCACCAAAUAUAUUUGCUACCCAGCCUAUGACAUGUUUCUAUGUGGGCAGCAGUUUGAGACAUUCAGCAAAGCUAAACAUGAGACUUGGUGCUGUUACCAGGUUGGACUGCCUACAGAAAAAUGGUUCACAGCCAUGGAAAAGGAUGGGUGGAUUUGGUGAAAUAAUUUUUCUUUCUGUUUUACUUAUCGUCUAAUAGACCAAACAUUUAUGAGAAAGGACUCUUGGGAUACCCUCCCACUGUAUGUUUGAGAGCCUGGAUUUGGACCCAGUUCUGUCUGACUCUAAAUGCCUGUGUUCAUCUUACGUAGUUAUGCUGUUCUCUGGCAAUGUGACAUUUAAGUCAAGUUGUGACAAAUGAGAAGACGUUUUCCCAGAUGGAUUGAGAUUCAAGGGGUAUUAUAAGCCAAGGGAACAGCACAUGUAUGAACAAGGCCCUAAACUGUGGGCUGAACUGCCAAGACAAUGUAAGGUUACACAGAUAAUGUGAGGGAAGGCUUGCUAUCAGAAGUGUUUGAAUGCAUUGAAAUAUGUCACUUGCCAUUUAUUCAUUCAUUUGGUAAUUCAACAAAUGUGUAUUGAGUACUUCCUAUAUGUCAGGUAACAUUAGAAUGAGAAUUGGAUUAGAAUUGGAAAUUACUAGAGACCUUUGUCAAAAUAUCACUGCUUCUUAUAUCAAGAAUUUCUUCUUCUCCUUUAAAACAAACAAGUCUAUAAAAUUUUGUCUCAUUGACAAACUAGCAGCAAAAGUCUUCUUUGAAUGAAGUCAGUGUUUGAGUGAAAUAAACCAUGAAUAUUUAUGAUAGAUUAAAGGCAAGCACAUAAAA